UACGGAGGGUGCAAGCGUUACCCGGAAUUACUGGGCGUAAAGCGCGCGUAGGUGGUUCAGUAAGUUGGAAGUGAAAUCCCCGGGCUCAACCUGGGAACUGCUUUCAAAACUGCUGAGCUAGAGUACGGUAGAGGGUGGUGGAAUUUCCUGUGUAGCGGUGAAAUGCGUAGAUAUAGGAAGGAACACCAGUGGCGAAGGCGACCACCUGGACUGAUACUGACACUGAGGUGCGAAAGCGUGGGGAGCAAACAGG
rnacentral:rRNA from 1 species